UACGGGGGGGGCAAGCGUUGUUCGGAAUUACUGGGCUUAAAGGGCGCGUAGGCGGCUUGCCAAGUCAGGGGUGAAAUCCUGCAGCUUAACUGUAGAAGGGCCUUUGAUACUGGCGAGCUCGAGGGAGGUAGGGGUAUGUGGAACUUCCGGUGGAGCGGUGAAAUGCGUUGAUAUCGGAAGGAACGCCGGUGGCGAAAGCGACGUACUGGACCUCUUCUGACGCUGAGGCGCGAAAGCUAGGGGAGCAAACGGG
rnacentral:rRNA from 1 species